rnacentral:rRNA from 1 species
GUGAGGAAUUUUCCGCAAUGGGCGCAAGCCUGACGGAGCGACGCCGCGUGAGGGAUGAAGGCCUUCGGGUCGUAAACCUCUUUUGUUGGGGAAAAAGGCAUUCGUGCUCAUACCACGGAUGUUUGAUGGUACUCAGCGAAUAAGCCCCGGCUAACUACGUGCCAGCAGCCGCGGUAAUACGUAGGGGGCGAGCGUUGUCCGGAAUUACUGGGCGUAAAGGGCGUGUAGGCGGUUGGAUAAGUCCGGUGUGAAAUGCUUUGGCUCAACCAAAGCGCUGCGCUGGAUACUGUCUGACUGGAAUUCGGAAGGGGUGACUGGAAUUCCCGGUGUAACGGUGAAAUGUGUAGAUAUCGGGAGGAACACCUGUGGCGAAGGCGGGUCACUGGUCCGACAUUGACGCUGAGACGCGAAAGCGUGGGGAGCAAACAGGAUUAGAAACCCCGGUAGUCC